UUGACAUAAAGAUUGUUAUCUGAGACAGAAAAGAACAAUACUUCUGUAAAAAUAUUUGCCUCUCAAAAAGACAGGCUCCACAUGUGGUGCAGAAAUUUUCCACCCCGGCAACAUACAGUAUAAGAUCAGAAUUAAAAGCAUUCCUGAAUGCCUGUGAAGCAUGGCUCAGUCACCCACCAGCUUGUAAUUGAAGCCCAUGAAUCUGCAAUGUUCCAGAGUGAAAACCCAGAGGAGCUGCAGCCAACCCAGACAAACAUGAAACAUAAGCAAGAACACCUUGGCUGUUGGAGAGGAGGAACGCAGGAACUGUGACCAAAUUGAUGGGUAGAAAAGAUUGAUGGAGAGGCAGCAGAGAUGGAGUUGAUGACAACCAUAAAGAAAAGAAAACCCACGUCGCUCCUUCUGAAGCAUCUGCGAGGGGACUCAUGUAUUGUAGCAAUCCUCAAAACAAGUCUUAAUAUAACAGGAAGAAGAGAAAAAUUCACUGGUUUAAUUAAAGUCUGGGCUUCAUCAAGCGGCACUAAGCCUUCUCACUGCAAGAAAAUGACCACAAUAGGUUAGGGAGGGAAUU